GACGAACGCUGGCGGCGUGCCUAAUACAUGCAAGUCGAACGCUUCUUUUUCACCGAACUUCGGUUCAUCGAAAAAGAGGAGUGGCGAACGGGUGAGUAACACGUGGGUAACCUGCCCAUCAGAAGGGGAUAACACUUGGAAACAGGUGCUAAUACCGUAUAACACUAUUUUCCGCAUGGAAGAAAGUUGAAAGGCGCUUUUGCGUCACUGAUGGAUGGACCCGCGGUGCAUUAGCUAGUUGGUGAGGUAACGGCUCACCAAGGCCACGAUGCAUAGCCGACCUGGAGGGUGAUCGGCCACACUGGGACUGAGACACGGCCCAGACUCCUACGGGAGGCAGCAGUAGGGAAUCUUCGGCAAUGGACGAAAGUCUGACCGAGCAACGCCGCGUGAGUGAAGAAGGUUUUCGGAUCGUAAAACUCUGUUGUUAGAGAAGAACAAGGAUGAGAGUAAAAUGUUCAUCCCUGACGUAUCUACCAG
rnacentral:rRNA from 1 species